rnacentral:rRNA from 1 species
UACGGAGGGUGCAAGCGUUAUCCGGAUUCACUGGGUUUAAAGGGUGCGUAGGUGGGUCUGUAAGUCAGUGGUGAAAUCUCCAAGCUUAACUUGGAAACUGCCGUUGAUACUAUAGACCUUGAAUGCUGUGGAGGUGAGCGGAAUAUGUCAUGUAGCGGUGAAAUGCUUAGAUAUGACAUAGAACACCAAUUGCGAAGGCAGCUCACUACCCAGAUAUUGACACUGAGGCACGAAAGCGGGGGGAUCAAACAGG